rnacentral:rRNA from 1 species
ACACUCCUGCGGGAGGCAGCAGUGGGGAAUUUUGGACAAUGGGCGAAAGCCUGAUCCAGCAAUGCCGCGUGCAGGAUGAAGGCCUUCGGGUUGUAAACUGCUUUUGUACGGAACGAAAAAGCUCCUUCUAAUACAGGGGGCCCAUGACGGUACCGUAAGAAUAAGCACCGGCUAACUACGUGCCAGCAGCCGCGGUAAUACGUAGGGUGCGAGCGUUAAUCGGAAUUACUGGGCGUAAAGCGUGCGCAGGCGGUUAUGUAAGACAGAUGUGAAAUCCCCGGGCUCAACCUGGGAACUGCAUUUGUGACUGCAUGGCUAGAGUACGGUAGAGGGGGAUGGAAUUCCGCGUGUAGCAGUGAAAUGCGUAGAUAUGCGGAGGAACACCGAUGGCGAAGGCAAUCCCCUGGACCUGUACUGACGCUCAUGCACGAAAGCGUGGGGAGCAAACAGGAUUAGAAACCCCGGUAGUCCCA